AAAUCCGGAAAAUCAAGGCUGAGGCGUGAUGACGAGGCACUACGGUGCUGAAGCAACAAAUGCCCUGCUUCCAGGAAAAGCCUCUAAGCAUCAGGUAACAUCAAAUCGUACCCCAAACCGACACAGGUGGUCAGGUAGAGAAUACCAAGGCGCUUGAGAGAACUCGGGUGAAGGAACUAGGCAAAAUGGUGCCGUAACUUCGGGAGAAGGCACGCUGACACGUAGGUGAAGUGAUUUACUCAUGGAGCUGAAGUCAGUCGAAGAUACCAGCUGGCUGCAACUGUUUAUUAAAAACACAGCACUGUGCAAACACGAAAGUGGACGUAUACGGUGUGACGCCUGCCCGGUGCCGGAAGGUUAAUUGAUGGGGUCAGCGCAAGCGAAGCUCCUGAUCGAAGCCCCGGUAAACGGCGGCCGUAACUAUAACGGUCCUAAGGUAGCGAAAUUCCUUGUCGGGUAAGUUCCGACCUGCACGAAUGGCGUAAUGAUGGCCAGGCUGUCUCCACCCGAGACUCAGUGAAAUUGAACUCGCUGUGAAGAUGCAGUGUACCCGCGGCAAGACGGAAAGACCCCGUGAACCUUUACUAUAGCUUGACACUGAACAUUGAGCCUUGAUGUGUAGGAUAGGUGGGAGGCUUUGAAGCGUGGACGCCAGUCUGCGUGGAGCCGACCUUGAAAUACCACCCUUUAAUGUUUGAUGUUCUAACGUGGACCCGUAAUCCGGGUUGCGGACAGUGUCUGGUGGGUAGUUUGACUGGGGCGGUCUCCUCCUAAAGAGUAACGGAGGAGCACGAAGGUUGGCUAAUCCUGGUCGGACAUCAGGAGGUUAGUGCAAUGGCAUAAGCCAGCUUGACUGCGAGCGUGACGGCGCGAGCAGGUGCGAAAGCAGGUCAUAGUGAUCCGGUGGUUCUGAAUGGAAGGGCCAUCGCUCAACGGAUAAAAGGUACUCCGGGGAUAACAGGCUGAUACCGCCCAAGAGUUCAUAUCGACGGCGGUGUUUGGCACCUCGAUGUCGGCUCAUCACAUCCUGGGGCUGAAGUAGGUCCCAAGGGUAUGGCUGUUCGCCAUUUAAAGUGGUACGCGAGCUGGGUUUAGAACGUCGUGAGACAGUUCGGUCCCUAUCUGCCGUGGGCGCUGGAGAACUGAGGGGGGCUGCUCCUAGUACGAGAGGACCGGAGUGGACGCAUCACUGGUGUUCGGGUUGUCAUGCCAAUGGCACUGCCCGGUAGCUAAAUGCGGAAGAGAUAAGUGCUGAAAGCAUCUAAGCACGAAACUUGCCCCGAGAUGAGUUCUCCCUGAGACUUAGAGUCUCCUGAAGGAACGUUGAAGACGACGACGUUGAUAGGCCGGGUGUGUAAGCGCAGCGAUGCGUUGAGCUAACCGGUACUAAUGAACCGUGAGGCUUAACCUUACAACGCCGAAG
rnacentral:rRNA from 1 species